GACGAACGCUGGCGGCGUGCUUAACACAUGCAAGUCGAACGGAAAGGCCCUGCUUUUGUGGGGUGCUCGAGUGGCGAACGGGUGAGUAACACGUGAGUAACCUGCCCCUGACUUUGGGAUAACUUCAGGAAACUGGGGCUAAUACCGGAUAGGAGCUCCUGCUGCAUGGUGGGGGUUGGAAAGUUUCGGCGGUUGGGGAUGGACUCGCGGCUUAUCAGCUUGUUGGUGGGGUAGUGGCUUACCAAGGCUUUGACGGGUAGCCGGCCUGAGAGGGUGACCGGCCACAUUGGGCCUGAGAUACGGCCCAGACUCCUACGGGAGGCAGCAGUGGAGAAUAUUGCACAAUGGGCGGAAGCCUGAUACAGCAACGCCGCGUGCGGGAUGACGGCCUUCGGGUUGUAAACCACUUUCGCCUGUGACGAAGCGUGAGUGACGGUAAUGGGUAAAGAAGCACCGGCUAACUACGUG
rnacentral:rRNA from 1 species